UUAUGCAUUAUCUGAAGGUAAUCCUUCCUGAUUUUUGCAACAAGUAAUUCUUUUUCUUUCAGUGGAGGGAGCCUCACUUUGAUCACAUAAUUUCACUUUAUAAUAUAGAUAGUUUUAGGAGAAACUAAUUAAAGCCUUUAUUACUUGUAUUUUCAACAAGCCCUCAUGUAGUGCAUUAUGUGAUUGAUUAACUCUUGUAAUUUGGUAUAAUGAGAGUUGUAUUGGCUCUAAAAUAAGAAUGAAGAGAGAGAGAGAGGAAUUAUCAUAGCAUAUCUAGAACAACAUACAAAUCUUUAUUUUAUUGCUUUUGGCCUCUUCCAGGUGUCAGGCAUGGCAGAGAAGUGUAUGCUUUCCUUUAUGUUCAUGACCCUGGAAACUCCUUCUUCAAAGAAAUGUUGAGUAGGACCAACUCAGGAUUGCAGCUCCCACUGAAUUCCCAGAGGCCUGCCUGACAUUUCUGCUCCACAUUUUUCUCACUCUGGGGCCCAGGAUGGCAGAUCAACCACUUCCUCAAAAGUUAUCAAUUGCUUUGGCCCAGGUAGAGGGAGAAUUUGAGGGUCUAGCAUCAGAAAUUACUACAUCCUGGACAUGAGAGUGGCAACUUUAAACAAUUAUCAGCUGAGCAACAGAAACAAAUGUUCUUGGAUGGUUUAUUCAGAAAGGAAGGUCUUCUUUAUGGCAGAUUCAAGAGAGAAGUGGCAUGGAUAAUCCAUCUCAUGAUAAUUGACAGGUGAUCAUCAAUACAGAAGAUGCCUUUUGGGAAAAACAAUAAAAAAUACAUUUUGUUUUAUUCUCUUAUUCA
rnacentral:lncRNA from 13 species